rnacentral:lncRNA from 1 species
CUCCUUCUGUAGUAAUAGGAAUGUGGCCAGGCACGUGGUUAGACCAUAUUUCCCACUCUCUAGUAGCCAGAUGUGGCCAUGUGACUAGAUGUCACCCACAGAAGUGAGAGGAAGUGAUUUGUUCCAUGUCGGAGUCAAGCUUCUUAGAAAUGGACGUGCUUCUUCCGGGAUCUCUUUCUCCUUCCACCAGCUAAAUGCAGAUAGCAACAACCACACAGUGGGGACACAGAGAAGUGAAGCCUGGGGCCCUGAAUGAUCACAUGGAAGAGACUCACCCUUCUGGUUUCAAUAUUUGACUUAUAGUGGUACUGUCCCACACUGCUGGCAACCCCAGAAGUGCCAUCAGUGACCCCGAACCCUGCUGAAGGCCUACACCUGCUGAAGAAGCUCAUGCCCAGUUUGAACCCACUCAUGACUGAGCCCAAGGACAGUCUUGUCUGUGCCAAGGGUCCUGGCGGCUGCGUUGAAGGACUGAAGGGAAAAAAAAAAUCACCAUUUUGCUUUCUCCACUCUUGACUGUGAAGUUUAAUAUAAGGUAUGGCUCAGUCUUUGUGAUGAUUCAUAACCUGGCUCUAACCAACAAACCAUUGGACCAUCCUGCGCCUCAUCUCUCUCCCCUACAGAGUCUCUCCUUACCUGUCUGGCUUUUGGGUUCCUUACACGUGGUCUCCCCAGAAAGCACUGAGGACUCUGAUUCAUCAUGUCAAGCGGUCAAUUAGAAUCCGGGAAAGCCUCUCUCUGGCCUCACCUUACUUCCUGUACCAGGAGAGAUGCUCAUCAAUAGUGAGAAAGAGUUGAUGGGAUUAGAGUCUGGAAGUGACAACCUCUCCUGAACCUGAACUCAUUGAUUUCUUCGUUUUACAAAACAGUGUUCUUGAAAAAAAUAAACAAAAAAAGGAAAUAAUACAACUAAGAACUCCAAGGUCUAAAUUUUAACCAGCUGUAUCUCAUAACAACAGAAGCUGCAAUGGCCAACAUACGUCAUUUAUAAAACGCCAACUUAUGUGGAUGGGGAUUGGGAUUUAUUGGCCUAAUGCAAAGAGCAUAUAAAAAAUGAGUAGGGAAAAGACUACUGUUUGUGUAUAUAUGUAAUUAUUACAUAUAUUCUUAAAUGAUAUUUAAUAAAUAAUCAAAUGAUUAAAUAAUAUAUACUAUA